rnacentral:rRNA from 1 species
UACGUAGGGGGCUAGCGUUGUCCGGAAUCAUUGGGCGUAAAGAGCGUGUAGGCGGCCCGGUAAGUCCGCUGUGAAAGUCGGGGGCUCAACCCUCGAAUGCCGGUGGAUACUGUCGGGCUAGAGUGCGGAAGAGGCGAGUGGAAUUCCGUGGGUGUAGCGGUGAAAUGCGCAGAUAUCGAGGAGGAACACCAAUUGCGAAGGCAGCUCGCUGGGACGUAACUGACGCUGAGACGCGAAAGCGUGGGGAGCAAACAGG